rnacentral:rRNA from 3 species
AUCCGGGUUGCGGACAGUGUCUGGUGGGUAGUUUGACUGGGGCGGUCUCCUCCUAAAGAGUAACGGAGGAGCACGAAGGUUAGCUAAUCCUGGUCGGACAUCAGGAGGUUAGUGCAAAGGCAUAAGCUAGCUUGACUGCGAGCGUGACGGCGCGAGCAGGUGCGAAAGCAGGUCUUAGUGAUCCGGUGGUUCUGAAUGGAAGGGCCAUCGCUCAACGGAUAAAAGGUACUCCGGGGAUAACAGGCUGAUACCGCCCAAGAGUUCAUAUCGACGGCGGUGUUUGGCACCUCGAUGUCGGCUCAUCACAUCCUGGGGCUGAAGUAGGUCCCAAGGGUAUGGCUGUUCGCCAUUUAAAGUGGUACGCGAGCUGGGUUUAGAACGUCGUGAGACAGUUCGGUCCCUAUCUGCCGUGGGCGCUGGAGAAUUGAGGGGGGCUGCUCCUAGUACGAGAGGACCGGAGUGGACGCAUCACUGGUGUUCGGGUUGUCAUGCCAAUGGCACUGCCCGGUAGCUAAAUGCGGAAAAGAUAAGUGCUGAAAGCAUCUAAGCACGAAACUUGCCCCGAGAUGAGUUCUCCCUGACCCUUUAAGGGUCCUGAAGGAACGUUGAAGACGACGACGUUGAUAGGUCGGGUGUGUAAGCGUAGCGAUACGUUGAGCUAACCGGUACUAAUGAACCGUGAGGCUUAACCUUACAACGCCGAAGGUGUUU